rnacentral:rRNA from 1 species
AGCGAACGCUGGCGGCAGGCCUAACGCAUGCAAGUCGAACGGAUCCUUCGGGAUUAGUGGCGGACGGGUGAGUAACACGUGGGAACGUGCCCUUUGGUUCGGAACAACUCAGGGAAACUUGAGCUAAUACCGGAUGUGCCCUUCGGGGGAAAGAUUUAUCGCCAUUGGAGCGGCCCGCGUCUGAUUAGCUAGUUGGUGAGGUAAAGGCUCACCAAGGCGACGAUCAGUAGCUGGUCUGAGAGGAUGAUCAGCCACAUUGGGACUGAGACACGGCCCAAACUCCGACGGGAGGCAGCAGUGGGGAAUCUUGCGCAAUGGGCGAAAGCCUGACGCAGCCAUGCCGCGUGAAUGAUGAAGGUCUUAGGAUUGUAAAAUUCUUUCACCGGGGACGAUAAUGACGGUACCCGGAGAAGAAGCCCCGGCUAACUUCGUGCCAGCCGCCGCAGUAAAAC